GUGGGUGUAGCUCAGCCGGUUAGAGCACCAGGUUGUGGCCCUGGUGGCCGGGGGUUCGAAUCCCCUCACUCACCCCA
rnacentral:tRNA from 1 species